AGGGGAAUUGGAGUCCUUAUACAUAAGAAUAGGAAAAAUUAACUUCAUACCCAUAACAUCACUUUGGCUACGAUAUGUUAUAUAUUGUUGUGUAAAGUGCCAAAAAUAUCCUUUUCUGCGCGCGUAGACAUCAAUGAGUGUCAUUAUCUUGCAAGUUGAAAAAUUGUUUCUACUUUACAAACUCUUGCAUACAGCGAAGAAGGGAGAUUUGAAGAGGGUGCGUGGUUUCGGUCGUGCGGCAUAAGUAGGAUAUUGAGAGUUAGGGUUUCAGUGGUUUUUUUCAAUUUUACGGCGGCACAAUUGAGUUUCCAAACCCAACAAAUCAAGGUGUCUGGUUUGUUGGAUUGGAGAUAGUGAAAACUGACGAUGGAUUGAAUUGGGGAAGAUGAACAGUAAUGUUGUGCAAUGUACUCUAUUCUAUUUUAUAAUUACAGUAUAGUAUGUUACAAUUCUUCUCCUCCUCUUCGGCAAAGUGUAUCUCCUUCGCCUUAUGAUUCUUCUCCUUCACUACUCCAUCAGCUUUGUUGUCUUAUCCUUCACUAUUGUCGCUAAUAUAUAGCUUUCACCUAAUUUAUACAUUGAGUGGUAAUGUGUAUUUGCGUUUUGAAAUUUCAUGCUUUAUAAAUGGUAUUAUUUUUCUA